UCCAUGCGGUCGCUACUCAUGGCGCUCUCC
rnacentral:piRNA from 1 species